rnacentral:rRNA from 1 species
UACGGGGGGAGCAAGCGUUGUUCGGAUUUACUGGGCGUAAAGGGCGCGUAGGCGGCGUGGUAAGUCACUUGUGAAAUCUCUGAGCUUAACUCAGAACGGCCAAGUGAUACUGCUGUGCUAGAGUGCAGAAGGGCAAUCGGAAUUCCUGGUGUAGCGGUGAAAUGCGGCAGAUAUCAGGAAGAACACCCGUGGCGAAAGCGGCUCUCUGGAACGGUACUGGACGCUGAGACGCGAAAGCGUGGGGAGCGAACAGG